AAAAAAAAUGAAAAAAGAAGGUUGAUAAAUGAAAACCCUGUAUUUCAGCUUCUCUCUCCCAAAGUCGAACCGGAAGGAGACCCAAAAUCCAAAUCCAAGCCCUUCAUCUCUGUCAUCAUGCUGCACGUUCACCGAAUGUGGCGCCAUAGCAGACCAACCAAAUAGGUCGCCAUCUGAGUAGAAGUGAGAGAAAUUGGUAAAGAAAAAAAUUGUGUCUCCCACCUUUGAAACCUCAGAAAUCAAAAGGUCAAAAUUCCUGUUUCCUUCCAUCUCCGGUUCAUCGAACGUGGAGCCAUAGCAGACCGCAGUGGUGAGAAAUUUCUGUCUAAAGCCAUACAGGAGCACGGCAGGGGAAGGUGCUAGAAAGUAGAAAUGGGGGUGGAGAUCCAAGAACAUCAUGACCGGCCAAGGAAAUAGAGAAGAGUCUACUGGAGCUUCACCAGAUGUUUCUCGACAUGGCAGUAAUGGUUGAGGCACAAGGUGAGCAAAUGGAUGAUAUCAAACACUAUGUUACAAAUGCGUUCAAGUAUGUGAGUGAUGGGACUAAAAGCCUUAAGAUUGCAAAAGAGCACAAGAGGAGUAGCAGAAGAUGGUUUUGUAUUGGAAUUCUCUCUUGCAUUUAGUUGCCCCAUAUAUGACUUAUAUGGGGCAAAAACUUAAUAUAAUGUAAUAAUAUGUGUCAAAGUAUGUGUCAUCUUCAAACAUAAAAAACAUGCUACUCAAGUUUAUCAAUAUCAAUUGCUUAUUGUAAUUUAAUUAUUUGCAUUUCUCACUGAAGUUCCAUUUCCCGAAGGCA